CGGAGCGGCGCGGCGCAGCGGCCUCGCAAGUCCCUUGGAAGAGGGCGCCGGAGAGGGUGAGAGCCCCGUGGCGAGGCGCGGUGUGUUGUGCGAUUUGCGUUCGAAGAGUCGGGCUGUUUGAGAUCGCAGCCCAAAGCGGGAGGUAAAUUUCUUCCAAAGCUAAGUAUGGGCGGGAGACCGAUAGUGGAAAAGUAGAGCGAUCGAAAGAUGAAAAGAACUUUGAAAAGAGAGUGAAAAGGACCUGAAAUUGUUGAAAGGGAAGAGAUUCGCGGCAGUGGGAACGGUGCGGCGUGGCGAACAACGCGACGCGGCACGGUCUGCAUGGCUUGCCGGCGCCGGAGACGGUCCGCGGAACAAGGUAGGCAUCUCUGCGGAGUGCUGUUAUAGAUCUGGGGACGGUGCGGGCGCGCGGGGAGCGAGGAGGUUCGGAGAUGCAGGCGAAAUGGCGCGA
rnacentral:rRNA from 1 species